UACUUUUUAUUCUAAUGAGGUAGCCCGAAAGUUUGGUGAGCUACUUUCUUGCUAUGGGUUGGUGUUGUAGUAUCAUCCAGAGACGAGAAGAUAGUGGCGAAAUACUUUUCGCAUUGACUGAUAGCUGGUUGUUUUGGAAAUAUAUAGAAGUAUAGCCCUUUUUGGGGCGGGUUCUACAGGUAUAGUUUAUUUUGUGUUACAAGAUUCCGCCCUCUUUUAGGAGAUGGUUCCCCCAGGCUAAGCUGGGGGGGCGCUUAAAAAGGAUGAUUGGUGAAGUUUUAGGUUUACAAGUAGGUUUCAAGGAGCCAUCUUCAUGGAGUGGGUUAUACCACAUAUGGGCCUUUCUUUAAAAUUAUAGUAGGUUUAUCUUUUAGUUGUACGAAACCUUCCCACGAAACUACGUUAGUGGGAGUGAUAAUGUAGAGAUGAGUAGUCGAGAUGGUUGUAGUUAUUUUUUGCUGCGGGGUAAAAAAUAAAAAUGUAAGAGUGCGUAUUGGUAAACAAAGCUUAAGGAACUCGGCAAAAGAGAGGACCGCCUGUUUAGCAAAAACAUGGCUUUCUGACUAACAUGGGGGGUCGUGCCUUCCCGGUGGGUAUACGAGCCUAAACGGACGCGGUAAAUCGUGCUAAGGUAGCUAAAUUAUGGCCCAUUAAUUGUGGGUCCUGUGAAUGGUUUGACGAGUCCUCUACUGUCUCAAGGUUGUUUUGGUGAACUUGAAUUGAAUGUGCAAAUGCUUUCAUACGAAAGAAAGACGAGAAGACCCCGUGAAGUUAGAAAUUCCUAUUACAGCGUAAACCCACAUUGACUGUGUCAGCGUUAAAGAGCAGAUAGGGCUUUGGAUCUUUUUUUGAAGGUCCCGGCUUUAUGGCUUUUGAGCAGCGGAAUGUAGUUUUGACGAGUUUUGGCUGGGGCAGCAAAGAGGCAAAACUAGACCUUUUUAAUCACUAAACGGAUACGUUACGACCCACAAAACAUGAAAAUCGUGAUUAACAGAAGGAGUUACUCCGGGGAUAACAGCGUAAUCUUCCUUGAUAGUUCUUAUAGAUGGGCGGGUUUGCGACCUCGAUGUUGGCUCUGGGUAUCCUGAGGCAUGCAGGCGGUCUCAAGGGUUGGUUCGUUCGCCCAUUAAAACCCGACGUGAGCUGAGUUCAGAUCGGCGAAAGCUAGGUCGGUUUCUAUCUUCUUUCAUUAAAAUUUAGGCGGUAGGGUACGAAAGGACAUUCGGCUUUAGAGUAACAAACUGUCAGUGCUGAAUUUAAAAUAACGUGAGAUUAAGGGUGAGUGAAGAUAAAAAGUUUAAUGUUUUGGUUUCUUGGGUGGGGUAAUAUAAAAAGUAUAUUGGGCUCAUGCCCCAAUCGCGGAAGGC
rnacentral:rRNA from 1 species